GAAAUAUUAGAGACAAAGCAUCUCCUGUAUAAUAUCCCAUCCAGAUGGCAGUUCCAAUGUUUUAUGGCCAGUCUGUUUAUUAAUGAACAUCUGUUUUUUGCUACAGAACAGAGUGGACAUUUUAACAUAAAGCCUGCCUUCCAGUUUUCAGACGAAAAUCAAAAUAGACAAUAUGUUAUUACUGAAAAAUGUUCUAAAUUUCUGUUUAAUUUCAGAACAAGUACAUCAACCCUUUUUACUACCCAUGAUGGAUGCUGUUCAAUCUGAUACAUUUACUUCAAAUAAUCCUGAGAAACAAGAAGUGCCAUAUAACAUGAAGAAGAAGAAGAAGAAGAAGAAGAAGAAGAAGAAGAAGAAGAAGAAGAAGAAGAAGAAGAAGAAGAAGAAGAAGAAGAAGAAGAAGAACUUCCCUAGAAAUGGUCACCAUAAAUCACCACCAUCAUCAUCACCCUUUAAAUGACUUUCUCUCCUCCUUUUGGAAGACCACAUUUACUUGGCAAUGAUUUCUGCCAAAAUACAGAUCUAGCCUUGUAUAUUUUACAGAGGCCCUGCAAUGGUAUUCCUGGAAAACAGUCUCCUCUUUCAAUUGGUGUGCUUUCUGAGUUAAUUUCCUUCACUUUGAAUAAAGCCAAGUAUAUGGAACGGAAUCUUACCCA
rnacentral:lncRNA from 1 species